GGAGGGUGCAAGCGUUGUUCGGAAUUACUGGGCGUAAAGGGCGCGUAGGCGGGAUCGAGUAGUUGGGGUGUGAAAGCCCUGGGCUCAACCCAGGAAGUGCGCCCCCGAAACCCAUCGAUCUUGAGUUCCGGAGGGGAGCGGGGAAUUCCCAGUGUAGAGGUGAAAUUCGUAGAUAUUGGGAGGAACACCGGUGCCGAAGGGGCCGCUCUGGACGGAUACUGACGCUGAGGCGCGAAAGCGUGGGGAGCAAACAGGAUUAGAUACCCUGGUAGUCCACGCUGUAAACGAUGUGCACUAGGUGUCGGGGGUAUUGACCCCCCCGGUGCCGCCGCUAACGCAUUAAGUGCACCGCCUGGGAAGUACGGCCGCAAGGUUG
rnacentral:rRNA from 1 species